GCUUGAGUGAUGCCUCGCCCGGCUCGAUCGGACUCAAAAUCCGCCGGGAGCGAUCCCUUGCGAGUUCGAGUCUCGCCUCGGGCA
rnacentral:tRNA from 1 species